AGUGUCAAAACCUAAUAGAAACCCUGUACUUGAGGAUAAAUAAUGCAUCUGAUGAGGAUGAUGAAGAUAUGGAAGAGGUGAGAUGAAGUACGGGCUUCUGUAUCACUAUAAUGCAAUCCCUUUUAUGAAACGUGUCUGUCCAUUUUUUAGCUUCUGUAAUUUCAGGGUGUCAUUUGAUUUCCCUGUAGGGAGCCUUAAUUAAUCGUGUUCAACAAUUGAUUAAUUUUCAAAGAAAAUAAAUCAUUAAUUUUCACAACACAAAAAAAUAAAAUUCAAAUGCAUAGUUUAGAGACCACUAAACUAUUCAGAGGCAUUUUUUCCCUGCUGCAGACACUGUUCCUUUAUGAAAGGUAAAAUGACUGAAACUAGUUCCGCUUGUUGGGACGUGUAUACAUGAUCANN
rnacentral:lncRNA from 1 species